rnacentral:lncRNA from 1 species
CAGGCCCAAGAUCCAAAAGGGAAAGUCCUGAACGCCCCCUUCCCCCUGUCUUUUCGGCGGGACUUUGGGAGUUUGCAGGGUGUUCUGAGAGUUUGGGCCUCAGGGAUUCUCGCGUCCGGGAGAUUCCAGGAGCUGUAGGGGGUGGAAUGCGAGUAGGAGGAGAGUAUCAUCCAUGUGUAAUUAAUUAUGUGGGGCCCAUGUUGGAAGACUGUGUAGCCAGCUCUUGGCUGUCGAACCACUGACUACAUGGAUUUAACCUGCCAUUGACAGUGGCGCCAUUUUUCUGGUCCUCCAGAGGAACAUAAACCUGUCCAUUUUACUCAUCUUGAAGGAGUUUUGGCAAAACAUGUAUUAGGGCAGAAAAUGAAACCUCACUAGAGCUCCCUUUGCACUGGAAGGCUGGAGGAAUUUCGUGGACUUGGAGGCUCUGCCCUGUGCUCCACGGCCACGAGCCCUUAAGUGUUGUCUCCACAGCAUUUGCAUUCACUGUCCUCAAAGCCCCGCUCCUCCCUCUCCCAUAUACGAUUUUGAGCCAUAUCCUUAACAUCCAGGUUCCUUUGUGUUUCCUGGUAAUGGGUAGAAGUGCAAGGGGAUUUCAGCUCCCAAGAGACAGGGUUUCCCCGUGCCUAAGACCCCAGGAUUGAUGCUACUCUGUCAUCAAGUGGUGACUGUGACUCUUCCCCCCGCAACCUCAGGAGGUUUUUUUGGACUUCAUCCCAGAUCCUGAGCUGGAGCUGGUCCUGGGAUGCAGAGCGUGCCUGUCCUAGUGAACUGAAGUGUCUCCAAAAGGGUUCCUGAAAACAGAACAAAGUUGCCCAGCCAGGCACGCAGGCCAGGGCAGGAAACUGGCCUUGGGGCCACCUCCGCUCAGGAUGGGGUGGAGGCAAACAGACUUGUGCGUCAUCCUUCACAAAGAAGGUUCUCUCAGAUAUUUGGAUUUCCUCGAGGAGCCCUCAAAGCAAUAAAAUAAUAUGUCCUGCAGACUGAGAACACUGACCGUGUCUGCAAGGCAGAGGGGGGCGCCGCAUGAGGUCUGCAUCUCAGAGGCUCCAGGCAGGAGUCUGGCUCUACUUGUUUUUCAGAGUAUUCUCUGGGAGGCACACACCUUUCCCAUUUUCUGGUGUGCCCGGCAAU